rnacentral:rRNA from 1 species
GCUGGCGGCGUGCUUAACACAUGCAAGUCGCACGAGAACGCUUCAGCUUGCUGGAGCUAGUAAAGUGGCGCACGGGUGAGUAACGCGUGGGUAAUCUACCCUCGAAUUGGGGAUAACAUCGCGAAAGUGAUGCUAAUACCGAAUGAUAUCUUUAAAACUCCGGUUUUUUAGAUUAAAGGUGGCCUCUACAUGUAAGCUACUGUUUGGGGAUGAGCCCGCGUACCAUUAGCUUGUUGGUAGGGUAACGGCUUACCAAGGCAACGAUGGUUAGCUGGUCUGAGAGGAUGAUCAGCCACACUGGAACUGACACACGGUCCAGACUCCUACGGGAGGCAGCAGUGAGGAAUUUUGCGCAAUGGGGGAAACCCUGACGCAGCAACGCCGCGUGAGUGAUGAAGGCUUUCGGGUCGUAAAGCUCUGUCAAGUGGGAAGAAACCACAUGAUGCUAAUAUCAUCUUGUGUUGACGGUACCACUGAAGGAAGCACCGGCUAACUCCGUGCCAGCAGCCGCGGUAAUACGGGGGGUGCAAGCGUUUUCGGAAUUACUGGGCGUAAGAGCGCGUA